GGAACCACAACCCUGGAUCUCCUACUGCCACAGCAAGAAGAGCACGGAGAUGACAUACAGGAACUACCAGGACAUCAGACUGAGGCCAGAGAACUUCUCUUCUUACCUGACUUCUACGGUUGGUUUCACCUGCUACAGAUUACUGACUGAUACAGGUUUCCAUAGGCCAAUCUACCUCUUCCAGAAAGGCCCCACCCCCAGGAAGUGAUAGUAACACGCCCAUUGUUAGCGGUGUUAGUGCUGAGUCAAUGCAGGACUGCUGUCAUGAGCACGUCUCCAUUGAAACGACUGUCCAGAUUGAU